UAAAAGUGGGACAAUCCAAAAUCGGCAAUUAACAAAUCUGAAUUCGGAUCUUUAGAGCGAUAAAGUAAAUUUUCUGGCUUCAAAUCUCGAUGUACAAUUCCAUUGUCAUGCAAGUACUUAACUGCUGAUGUGGUAGUACGCAUUAAAGCAGCAGCAUCGGCCUCAUAAAAUGAACCUUUGGCACAUAUUCUAUCAAAAAGUUCACCACCGGUGGCCAGUUCAGUGAUUAAGUACACUGUUUCAAGGGUUAGUGAACAAAACACAUCACAAUAACAUUUGAUUCAUCAAAUCGAAAUCGGAGACAUACGAUUAUUCACAGUUUCAAAAAAAUCAACCAAGUGUAAGAUAUUAGGAUGUUCAUAAGAAACACGUUUUAGAAUUGCAAUUUCAUUCUUCACCUAUACCACCAAAAACAUGUUAGUAAACGUAAAUAAGGAUGCUGUAAGUACUUAAGUCUUUACUUACAAAGUCUUGUUUCUUCUCCAUCAUCUUUUUAUUCAUAAUCUUAGCCGCAUACAUUCUAUGAAAAUUUGGUCAGCAAACAACUCGAAUUUAAAAUAUACUUACUUGUUAGUUUCGAUAUGAACGGCUUCACGAACCGUCGCAUAUGUUCCGCCUCCCAAAACCCGACCGACACGAUAUUUGCAAGGUAAUAGUUGUUUCUGAUCCACCGUAGCCUUUGGAGCACCGUCUUUCAAGGCCGAGGUGUUUGGUUUGUAUGUUUGCUGCAUAGCUGUAAAGAA